GGGGGAACCCACCAUCCGUCAUGGGAUGGUAUCCUUCGGGAAGGGAACCCGGUGAACUGAAACAUUUAAGUAGCCGGAGGAAGAGAAAUCAAACGAGAUGCCCACAGUAGCGGCGAGCGAAGAGGGCAGAGCCUAAACCAGAGAGCUUUGGCUCCCUGGGGUUACGGACUGGCAUAAACCGAGUCAGGCCUAGCCGAAUCACCUGGAAAGGUGAGCCACAGACCGUGAGAGCCGGGUAGGCGAAAGGCAGAGCAAGGGGGCCAGUAUCCAGAGUACCGCGAAGCACGAGGAAUUUUGCGGGAAGUCGGGGGGACCACCCUCCAAGGCU
rnacentral:rRNA from 1 species